rnacentral:rRNA from 1 species
UACAGAGGGGGCAAGCGUUGUUCGGAAUUACUGGGCGUAAAGGGCGCGUAGGUGGCCUUCUAAGUCGAACGUGAAAUCCCUGGGCUCAACCCAGGAACUGCGUCCGAUACUGGAAGGCUUGAAUCCGGGAGAGGGAUGCGGAAUUCCAGGUGUAGCGGUGAAAUGCGUAGAUAUCUGGAGGAACACCGGUGGCGAAGGCGGCGUCCUGGACCAACACUGACACUGAGGAGCGAAAGCCAGGGGAGCAAACGGG